GAUGAACGCUAGCUACAGGCUUAACACAUGCAAGUCGAGGGGCAGCAUGCUGGUAGCUUGCUACCAGUGAUGGCGACCGGCGCACGGGUGAGUAACGCGUAUCCAACCUUCCCAUGACCAGGGAAUAACCUUGCGAAAGUAAGACUAAUGCCCUAUGGUUUCCUCAGCGGACAUCCAAAGAGGAAUAAAGAUUCAUCGGUGAUGGAUGGGGAUGCGUCUGAUUAGGUUGUUGGCGGGGUAACGGCCCACCAAGCCAUCGAUCAGUAGGGGUUCUGAGAGGAAGGUCCCCCCACAUUGGAACUGAGACACGGUCCAAACUCCUACGGGAGGCAGCAGUGAGGAAUAUUGGUCAAUGGGCGAGAGCCUGAACCAGCCAAGUAGCGUGCA
rnacentral:rRNA from 1 species